rnacentral:rRNA from 1 species
AAGCAGUGGGAGCACCCUUCGGGGUGUGACUGCGUACCUUUUGUAUAAUGGGUCAGCGACUUAUAUUCUGUAGCAAGGUUAACCGUAUAGGGGAGCCGGAGGGAAACCGAGUCUUAACCGGGCGUUAAGUUGCAGGGUAUAGACCCGAAACCCGGUGAUCUAGCCAUGGGCAGGUUGAAGGUUGGGUAACACUAACUGGAGGACCGAACCGACUAAUGUUGAAAAAUUAGCGGAUGACCUGUGGCUGGGGGUGAAAGGCCAAUCAAACCGGGAGAUAGCUGGUUCUCCCCGAAAGCUAUUUAGGUAGCGCCUCGUGAAUUCAUCUCCGGGGGUAGAGCACUGUUUCGGCUAGGGGGCCAUCCCGGCUUACCAACCCGAUGCAAACUGCGAAUACCGGAGAAUGUUAUCACGGGAGACACACGGCGGGUGCUAACGUCCGUCGUGAAGAGGGAAACAACCCAGACCGCCAGCUAAGGUCCCAAAGUCAUGGUUAAGUGGGAAACGAUGUGGGAAGGCCCAGACAGCCAGGAUGUUGGCUUAGAAGCAGCCAUCAUUUAAAGAAAGCGUAAUAGCUCACUGGUCGAGUCGGCCUGCGCGGAAGAUGUAACGGGGCUAAACCAUGCACCGAAGCUGCGGCAGCGAACGUAUCACCCAAGACAACUUUACGGAGUUGACGAUUGACGGAGCGAAGCGACGUCAAAGCGUUCAUUAAAGUCGAGUUGGCUUAGGGAUACGUUCGUUGGGUAGGGGAGCGUUCUGUAAG